CAUGAAAAGAAGUUUAAAAAAGGCGGCGUAAGCUGUCGCUAAAGGAUGGACCUGCGAUGCAUUAGCUAGUUGGUAAGGUAACGGCUUACCAAGGCGAUGAUGCAUAGCCGAGUUGAGAGACUGAUCGGCCACAUUGGGACUGAGACACGGCCCAAACUCCUACGGGAGGCAGCAGUAGGGAAUUUUCCACAAUGGACGCAAGUCCGAUGGAGCAACGCCGCGUGAGUGAAGAAGGUUUUCGGAUCGUAAAGCUCUGUUGUUGGUGAAGAAGGAUAGAGGUAGUAACUGGCCUUUAUUUGACGGUAAUCAACCAGAAAGUCACGGGCUAACUACGUGCCAGCAGCCGCGGUAAAU
rnacentral:rRNA from 1 species